AAGAACACAAAAUAAACAUGCAAAUGCGAUUGAUUCAAUUGACGAGAAAAAGACUAUGGGUGAAUGAAGUUGUUGGGGGUUUACAAUUUCAUCUUAUCCGAUCUCUCUUAUCUAAUCCUCUUGUUUAAUUUGCUUUGUUAUCUAAUUGUCAUGCAAACUUUCUUUGUCUACCCUUAACCCGAUCCCUCGGCAAAAAGAGCCUAUUACUAAUUACUGGCUUGCUAUCCCUAGCCUCCCCU
rnacentral:lncRNA from 1 species